CAGAAAAUAGUUUAUUAAAAAUAUUAAUUUUGGGGAUUAAAGAAAAGUAGGUUUAUUUUUUUCUGA
rnacentral:tRNA from 1 species